rnacentral:rRNA from 1 species
GGGACUCCUACGGGAGGCAGCAGUGGGGAAUUUUCCGCAAUGGGCGAAAGCCUGACGGAGCAAUGCCGCGUGGAGGUGGAAGGCCUACGGGUCGUCAACUUCUUUUCUCGGAGAAGAAACAAUGACGGUAUCUGAGGAAUAAGCAUCGGCUAACUCUGUGCCAGCAG